rnacentral:tRNA from 1 species
UAUGGCUCAGUUGGUAGAGCACUUGCCUAGAAUGCAGGAGGCCUGGGGUUCCACUUCCAGUA